rnacentral:siRNA from 1 species
UCUAUUAUGAACAAAACUUGGGUU